AUUCCCGAAAUAAACAAAAUAUCAUUAUAUUUCCAAAUACAUCAUUAUUAUUAUACUGAAUA
rnacentral:tRNA from 1 species